rnacentral:rRNA from 1 species
GUUCCAGGGCGGAAAGCUCAGUAAUAGGUGGUUAAUCUGCCCUUAGGUUCAGGAUAAUCUUGGGAAACUGAGGCUAAUACUGGAUAGGCAAGGGACGCUGGAAUGCCCCCUUGCUUAAAGAUUUAUCGCCUAAGGAUGGGACUGCAGCAGAUUAGGUUUUUAUGAGAGUAAUGUCCUCAUAAGCCGAUAAUCUGUACGGGCUUUGAGAGAAGAAACCCGGAGAUGGAUUCUGAGACAAGAAUCCAGGCCCUACGGGGCGCAGCAGGCGCGAAACAUUCCCAAUGACCGCAAGGUUGAGGAUGGGAUUCGGAGUGCUACUUCUUUAAGGAGUAGCUUUUGUUAAGUUUAAACCGCUUAUCGAAUAAGUGGUGGGUAAGACGGGUGCCAGCCGCCGCGGUAAUACCCGCGCCACAAGUGAUAGUCUCGAUUAUUGGGUUUAAAGCGUCCGUAGCCGGUUCGUUAAGUUCUUAGUGAAAUACCAUAGCUAACUAUGGUGCUUGCUAGGGGUACUGACAGGCUAGAGAACGGGAGAAGUCUGGGGUAUUCCUGGGGUAGGGGUAAAAUCCUGUAAUCCUAGGAGGACCACCUGUGGCGAAGGCGCCAGACUAGAACGAUUCUGACGGUGAGGGACGAAAGCUUGGGGAGCAAAGGGGAUUAGAUACCCCCGUAGUCCUAGCUGUAAGCGAUGCCCACUAGUUGUUGGAGUUCUUACGGGGGACUUCAAUGUCGUAGCGAAAGCGUUAAGUGGGCCACCUGGGGAGUACGGUCGCAAGGCUGAAACUUAAGGGAAUUGGCGGGGGAGCACACAAGGGGUGGAGGCUACGGUUUAAUUCGAUUCAACGCGAGGAACCUUACCAGAAGCGACAGCAGAAUGAAGGUCAGGCUGAAGGUCUUACCAGACAAGCUGAGAGGUGUUGCAUGGCCGUCGCCAGUUCGUGCCGUGAGGUGUCCUGUUAAGUCAGGUAACGAACAAGACCCGCGCCCUAUGUUGCUAGGACAUUUUUAUGUCUGCACUCAUAGGGAACCGCUGGUGAUAAGCCAGAGGAAGGUGCGGUCGACGGCAGGUCAGUAUGGCCUGAAUCUUCUGGGUUACACGCGGCCCACAAUGGACGGAAUAAUGGGACGCGACCCCGAAAGGGGGAGCUAAUCUUUAAAUCCGUUCCCAAUCCGAAUUGAGGGCUGCAACCCGCCCUCAUGAAGUCGAAAUCCCUAGUAGUCGCUGGUCAUCAUCUAGCGGCGAAUAAGUUCUUGCUCCUUGCACACACUGCCCGUCAAGCCAUCCGAGUGGAGUUUCGGUGAUGCUUUGGUUUUUGCCAGAGUCGAGCCGCGGUUUCGCAAGGAGGGCUAAGUCGUAACAAGGUA